rnacentral:SRP_RNA from 1 species
GCUGGGCAUGGUGGCUCAUGCCUGUAAUCCCAGCACUUUGGGAGGCUGAGGUGGGCUGAUCACUUGAGGUCAGGAGUUCAAGACCAGCCUGGCCAACAUGGUGAAACCCCAUCUCUA